CUCACUCUGUCGCCAGGCUGGAGUGCAGUGGCGCGAUUAUAUUCACCUAGAAGUUUGUGAACACUGUUCCUCUUUCAGUAAAAUCCAUGUUAUAGAUGCUGCUGGAUUUUAGGCAUCCAGAAAGGCCUGAGAUUGGCAGCUAUUUGUUGACAAUUCAAUGGGUAUAAAAGUUUCAGGCAGCAAAACUAAUGAAUGAUUUCCAACCACAGAAGCCGUCACUGGGAGAGCCAAUAAAGAUACGACAGAUCUGGCAGGAGAACAAGAUCCAGCCCAGGUGAUGGGGUGUGAGGCUUGGUCUUAGCUACAGGGAAUGGAGAUUUUUCUGGUCUGCUGGGGCUUUUCCUAAUUCUGCACGGUCGGCUUGAGACUGUCCACCUGUUGCUCCAUCUAGGCUGCGUUGCCCUUAUGAGCCGUCUUCACAAGGAGACGCUGGUCUGAAAAGAAGGCAACGCAAGGAAGAGAACAGAGCCAAGGCACCUGCAGCGAGCCAGAGCCAGAGCCCUGACAUCACAAAUGCUUUAAUUGGUUCCAUUUAUUGUUUAAUCCACUUGAAAUUGAAUUUCUGUCAUCCCCGACUGGAAGUGUACUGACCUGCAUACUACCUGUGUUUCCUCACAGCAGGCUGAAAAGCUGUGCCAAUAUUGAGCUCAUCCAGAAUUAGACGAAGUUUGUAUUCUUUUUAUUACUUCCUUUAACCCUGAAUCAGGGUCCAGAAGCAUUUUGUUGACCAUUAACUCUUCUCUGUGAAUAAAGCAGCAUGAGGAACAACCUCUUUUAUUCACAGAGCAAAGCUCUUCGCUGCUCAGCCACAGCGGCUUCAACUCUGGCACGGGUCCUGAAGUGCCAUUUCUAGCACAUGACUCACAAAGUAAAUAAUCUGUAAAUGAAAAGCCUCUUAUCAUACUUUGGCACGAAAAACAAAGCGACAAGCCAGGCAGCAUUUUUCCCUCAUAUUUGAACCCCACAUGCACCAAGGGCUGUUUUAUGCCUUGCACAUGAGGAGUUUGGUUUGCUCAAAAGCAAAGUAUUGGCUAACAUGUGUGUGCACUAGUAAUUGCAUUUCUGCUUUGUGUGCUCUGUUAUCUGAUAGAGGAGCUUUGUCAAUAUCCUUUGGAUCUCUCUCCAAGCACAGUCUUCAUUAUGAUCUGUGAGCUGAUUUACGGUCUUCUUGGCAAUUUUACGACUGAUAUCUAGGUGCAUUUGCUAAGAGGACAGCAAUUUAGAAUGAUGUUUCUGUAGCUUUAGUCUCCUCCGCACCUUUAAUAAGAAGAAUAAUCAAUUUUACAUUAGAAAGUUAUUUUGUGCUUAUUCUGGAAAAAUGGAAUUGGUUGCUUUUUCUAAAGAUAAUGAGAAACACUUUUUAUGGCUCCAGACUACUAUAUAUCAGCAUUUUCAUUUUAACAGUAAUAUAUCGAGGACUAGGGGCAAAUGGAUUGCUUGUCCAAUAAAUGAAAUGUUCAAGUAUUCCUCACUGAACUUAGACUCACAAUUUUCAUUUAUGGUUGCAUGUGUAAAAUCACCACUCAAGAACUUGUUUGUCCUUGAAUAUAUAGUUUUGUAUUUCCAUAGUUAUAUUGCAGAACCAUUUACUCAUUAUGUUUACAGUGCCCUUCUGAGGAUUUAUGCUGCCAUUUUCAUCAUUA
rnacentral:lncRNA from 1 species